rnacentral:rRNA from 1 species
UAGUGAAACCGCGAAUGGCUCAUUAAAUCAGUUAUAAUCUCAACAAUUGUCAGAGUAUACAAGGAUAACUGCGGUAACCCUGCAGCUAAUACUUGGGGAUAUCAUUUCGGGCUCUAUGCUUCGGCUGGAUGACCUGAUUUAACUUUUAUUAGAGGUCCCAUGACGGUAGGUUAGCGUUGGCUUCCUCUCCGCGUGUAGAUUUCUGAAUAACUGAAGGAUCGGAAAACWUGUUCCGACGAAUUGUUUGAGUAUCUGACCUAUCAACUUUGGACGGUAGUGUAACGGACUACCGUGGUUGUAACGGGUAACGGGGAAUCAGGGUUCGAUUCCGGAGAGGGAGCCUGAGAAACGGCUACCACAUCCACGGAAGGCAGCAGGCGCGCAAAUUACCCAAUGUCGGUACGACGAGGUAGUGACGAAAAAUAACAAUAUGAGCCCUUUAUGGGUUUGUGAUUGGAAUGAGAGAAAUUUAACUACUUUCUUGAGGAGCUAGUGGAGGGCAAGUCUGGUGCCAGCAGCCGCGGUAAUACCAGCCUCCACAAGCGUAUGC